rnacentral:rRNA from 1 species
CCUACGGGAGACAGCAGUGAGGAAUAUUGGUCAAUGGGCGAGAGCCUGAACCAGCCAAGUCGCGUGAGGGAAGACGGUCCUAUGGAUUGUAAACCUCUUUUGUCGGGGAGCAAAAAGGCCUCGUUAGUCCACAAUUGAGAGUACCCGAAGAAAAAGCAUCGGCUAACUCCGUGCCAGCAGCCGCGGUAAUACGGAGGAUGCGAGCGUUAUCCGGAUGUAUUGGGUUAAAAGGGUGCGUAGGCGGACUGGAAGGUCAGCGGUAAAAUCGAGAGGCUCAACCUCUUUCCGCCGUUGAAACUGUCGGUCUUGAGUGUGCGAGAAGUAAGCGGAAUGCGUGGUGUAGCGGUGAAAUGCAUAGAUAUCACGCAGAACUACGAUUGCGAAGGCAGCAUACCGGCGCCCGACUGACGCUGAGGCACGAAAGCGUGGGUAUCGAACAGGAUUAGAUACCCGAGUAGUC